AGAGUUUGAUCCUGGCUCAGAAUGAACGUUGGCGGCGUGGAUUAGGCAUGCAAGUCGUACGAGAAUCGUAGUAAUACGAGGAAAGUGGCGAAAGGGAGAGGAUUACGUGGGAAUCUACCCUCAGACCUGGGAUAGCGGCGGGAAACUGCCGGUAAUACCAGAUAAUGUCUUUGGACCAAAGGUGUGAUUCCGUCUGGGGAUGAGCCCACGUCCUAUUAGCUUGUUGGUGGGGUAAUGGCCUACCAAGGCAAUGAUGGGUAGCGGGUGUGAGAGCACGACCCGCCUCACUGGGACUGAGAUACUGCCCAGACACCUACGGGUGGCUGCAGUCGAGAAUCUUCGGCAAUGGGCGAAAGCCUGACCGAGCGACGCCGCGUGCGGGAUUGAAGGCCUUCGGGUUGUAAACCGCUGUCGUAGGGGAGCAAGAGAAGAGGGUUCUCCCUCUAAUUUGAGCGAUCCUAGGAGGAAGGACGGGCUAAGUUCGUGCCAGCAGCCGCGGUAAGACGAACCGUCCGAACGUUAUUCGGUAUCACUGGGCUUAAAGAGUUCGUAGGCGGCUCCGUAGGUGAGGUGUGAAAUCCCUCGGCUUAACCGAGGAAUUGCGCUUCAAACCGUGGAGCUAGAGGAAGAUAGGGGUGAGCGGAACAGAUGGUGGAGCGGUGAAAUGCGUUGAUAUCAUCUGGAACACCGGUGGCGAAAGCGGCUCGCUGGAUCUUUUCUGACGCUGAGGAACGAAAGCUAGGGGAGCGAACGGGAUUAGAUACCCCGGUAGUCCUAGCCGUAAACGAUGAGCACUAGUCUGUGGGGACCCUCACAUCCUCUCGGACGUAGCGAAAGUGUUAAGUGCUCCGCCUGGGGAGUAUGGUCGCAAGGCUGAAACUCAAAGGAAUUGACGG
rnacentral:rRNA from 1 species